UACCAAAGGAUAAUAGUAUUCCACUGGUCUUAGGCACCAAAAUCCUUGGUGCAU
rnacentral:tRNA from 1 species